UUUGUCUGAUGGCUUUAAUAGUCACUCAAUUUAUUUAAUAAUGUUAUUUAUUAUUUUCAGAGAUUCCAAUGCAUAGUUUCCCAGAUGCUGUCAAAUUCCUGAGCAGUUUAAAACUUGGGUCAGUCUUGUUGGUGGAAACCCUUAAACAUCUGAUCUUGAAUGUUAUAAGAAGGAGAGAAUUUGUGAUAUACACUUUUCUGACAGACACAGAAAUCAUAAUCAAUGGCUAAGCACAUUGGCAGUUCCGAUGCUUCAUCUGCUUGGACAACUACACAGUCAAGUAAUCUUAGGACAAGCUUCAUCCACACAACAUUUACUGCCUACAAUAAUACAGCAAGACUGUUCAGAGUCAUAUGUGAGCAACUUUAUUUUAGAAAAAGCAUCAACUUCAACAACAUUCCAACCUGUGGCUGCAGAUGCAUCUCUAGGUGCUUGAUGCUGGAACAUAAUUAUAGUUUUAUUAGCAAGCCUAAAAGAACAGCUGGAAAAGAUCUAAUGGCUCCACAGCGCACAAAGAUUAAGCAUCUUCAAGCAGAAAUAUCGCGCUUGCGAAAAAAAAAACAAUCUAUCAAAGCAAGGUUAAAAGGUGGUGCAGAUCGAUCAAUCGAAUUUUGUCAGGAAAAUUAACAUAUGUGGGUGAAGACGAAACAAAAACAGCU